CCCCUCCACCACAUCGAAGGCGCCCACCACCAAGGCGUCCCCCUCCGCCAGCUCCAAUUUUUCUUCGUCCGCCACCACCAAAGCGUCCCCCUUCACCACCGCCAAGUUUUCGUCCUCCACCACCAAGACGUUACCUGCCGCCACCAACACCUAGACUUCCUCCACCGCCACCACCCUCACCACCACCGCCACCACCUCCACCACCACGACGUCCUCCGCCGCC
rnacentral:lncRNA from 1 species